GCCUAACAGCUAGCCCACUAAAUUAAACCAAAAUCCCCCUAUUUAUAAUUUUCUACCACCUAAAAAGAUUAAACAAAUCAUUUUUCCCCCUAAGUACGUGCGACGGAAAAGGAGAUACAGGAGCAACAGACAAAGUACCGUAAGGGAACGCUGAAAAAGAAAUGAAACAACCCUCUUAAGCCCCAAAAAGCAGAGAUUAAUCCUCGUACCUUUUGCAUCAUGAUUAAGCCAGUACACUAAAGCAAAGCGCCCUUUAGUUUUUUACCCCGAAACUAGACGAGCUACUCCGAGACCGCCUACAAGUUUAGGGCUUAUCCGUCUCUGUGGCAAAAGAGUGGAGAGAUCUCCGAGUAGAGGUGAAAGACCUACCGAGUUUAGUUAUAGCUGGUUGCCUAGGAAAUGAAUAGAAGUUCAGCCCUCUGCACACCCCACCUCGAUUUUUUACUUAACACAUCGACCCUGAGGUUAAAAGAGGCGUUAGUCAAAGAAGGUUCAGCUUCUUUGAACAAAGACACAACUUUUAAAGGAGGAUAAAGAUCAUAAUUUAUAAGGAGCAGUUGUUCUAGUGGGCCUAAAAGCAGCCACCUACACCAAAAGCGUUACAGCUUAUACAAAAUCUUUGCCCCUCAAUCAGGACUUAAUUAUCUUAUUCCCCUACAACUACUAGGCUACUUCAUGCCCCCAUGAAAGAAACCCUGCUUAAAUUAGUAAUAAGAGGGGACGACCCUCUCCUUGCACCAGUGUAUGUCGGAUUGGACUCACCCCCGACUAUUAACGACCCCAUAACCAGAGGGAACAAAGACACCCUCCCGGCACAAGCCGAGAAAAACACUUUAUAGUUAUCGUUAACCCCACACCGGAGUGCUUUAAGGGAAAGACUAAAAGAUAGGAAAGGAACUCGGCAAACACAAGCCUCGCCUGUUUACCAAAAACAUCGCCUCUUGCAUAAAACGAAUAAGAGGUCCUGCCUGCCCCGUGACUAUGGGUUUAACGGCCGCGGUAUUUUGACCGUGCGAAGGUAGCGCAAUCACUUGUCCUUUAAAUGAGGACCCGUAUGAAUGGCAAGACGAGGGCCUAGCUGUCUCCCCUAUCCAGUCAAUGAAAUUGAUCCCCCCGUGCAGAAGCGGGGAUAGCCUCAUAAGACGAGAAGACCCUAUGGAGCUUAAGGCAGUAGGACGGCCCGUAUAAACAGCUCACCACAAAUGAACUAGACCCUAGCGAUACACCUCCGUUCCCAUGCCUUUGGUUGGGGCGACCAUGGGGAAAAGAAAAACCCCCAUGAGGACUGAGGGCCUCUUAAACACCACCCUCCUAGCCGAGAGCCUACCACUCUAAGCAUCAAAACAUUUGACCUUCGUGAUCCGACGUACGCGUCGAUCCACGAACCGAGUUACCCUAGGGAUAACAGCGCAAUCCCCUCCAAGAGCCCUUAUCGACGAGGGGGUUUACGACCUCGAUGUUGGAUCAGGACAUCCUAAUGGUGCAGCCGCUAUUAAGGGUUCGUUUGUUCAACGAUUAAAGUCCUACGUGGAUCUGAGUUCAGACCGGAGUAAUCCAGGUCAGUUUCUAUCUAUGCCUUGCUCUUUUCUAGUACGAAAGGACCGAGAAGGAGGGGCCCAUGUUACUCACACGCCCCACCCCCACCUGAAGAAAUCAACUAAAACAAGCAAGAGGGCAAACCCCCUAGCCUGUGCCAGAAAUAAUGGCAUU
rnacentral:rRNA from 1 species